rnacentral:rRNA from 1 species
GACGAACGCUGGCGGCGUGCUUAACACAUGCAAGUCGAACGGAAAGGCCCUGAUUUUGUGGGGUGCUCGAGUGGUGAUCGGGUGCGUAACCCGUGAGUAACCUGCCCUUGACUUUGGGAUAACUUCAGGAAACUGGGGCUAAUACCGGAUAGGAGCUCCUGCUGAAUGGUGGGGGUUGGAACGUUUCGGCGGUUGGGGAUGGACUCGCGGCUUAUCAGCUUGCUGGUGGGGUUGUGGCUUACCAAGGCUUUGAGGGGUAGCCGGCCUGGGAGGGUGACCGGCCACAUUGGGACUGAGAUACGGCCCAGACUCCAACGGGAGGCAGCGGUGGAGAAUAGUGCACAGUGGGCGGAGGCCUGAUGCAGCAACGCCGCGUGCGGGAUGACGGCCUGCGGGUUGGAAACCGCUUUCGCCUGUGACGAGGCGUGAGUGACGGUAAUAGGUAAAGAAGCACCGGCUAACUACGUG